AAAAAAGGAAAGAAUACAUGAGAGAAAAAAACCCUAAAACCAAGAGAUUGUUUUCCUAUCUUUUUGUUCUUCAUUGUUCCUUGAUAUGUUCUGAUUGUUCUUUUUUGUUUCUGAUCGAUCAUGUGUUCGGAUUAUUCAAUAUAAAGAAGAGAUGAAUAGCCAAAUCCAUGUAUUGGUAAACCCUAACGACUACCGGUUUCUGAUUUUUACUUUUCCUUGAUUUUCACUAAAAAGAAACAGUUUACCCUAAAACACUCAUCACCUUUUCAUAUUCGCCUCUGUUCUUAAGAAAAAAAUUAAACCUAGAAAAUCACAUGUUGCCUCCGUUCUCACUGUUCGUCCUCCUUUUCUUUCUGAUGGGUUCACUAUUCUUCCUCCCUUCUUCCUAAUGCGAGAGCAGAUGAUUUUAUUAUUCAGCAAUCAAAAAUCUGCGAGGAUUUUGGAUAUAUACAUUGUACUGCGAGUAUUUCUCAUUGAGGCAGUACUCUGAACAUGCUAAAGACACCUCUGUCAUUUGUUGUUCAACUGAGUUUAGCGCUCCUGUAUGUGGAUGACAAGUAUAUCUGGCAUCUUUGGGUUCGGAAGCAUAUAUCUGAGUACCUCCUCAAAUCAAAUUCAAACUUGGUUUCGUAAUUUCAUUACCUCUAACGGGAGUUACUGCAACGAUCAUUCCAAUCCUGCGUGAUGUGGAGUUUUUAAUGAGCUUUCAGUGUCAGUUCCCGACUAAAGGAUUAACUAUCUUUGUUUUGGAGAUGCUUCAGUCUUUGUUGGCUGACAAAGCAAGUAAUGCCGGAGCACCUGAUAGAAUGCUAGGUGAAAUUCGAGGGGAAUUCCAGGUUCUGUAUUUGUUAGGAAAAAAUCAUUUGGAAAUGGUUCCAAGGCCUCUUCUUGCUGUUUUGAGAGGGCAGAAAGAUUACAUCUGUUAAGGCGGAAGUAAAUGAAUUUUAGGAAUUCAAUCACUUUCUCUAGAGUGCAACAUCUGACUCAAGAAUAAUGGCAAAACCUGCUACUGGAAUUUGGAACUCAUCAUGGUUCCUUGGAACCUCAUAGGCUCAUAAGACGUGGAUGUUGAGGCAGACACAGAGUUUAGUAUUUCCGUUCAUCAAUUUUGUAACUAUGUGAGAAUGGGAAAUCUAUUCUUGAGGUACAAUUUUGAGUUGGUAUGUACCUUCUUAGGAAUUGCUUAGGCAUUUGUCUAUAACUGUCGUAGCUUUCCAUUUUGAACAUUACAUCUCAAAUACUAGCUCAGGUAACAAUCUUUUCUUGAAAUUCUUUUUCUUCUAUAUUGAGUAAUUGCUAUCUUAGCUCAAAAUGGAAGAGCACAUGGUUUUCAACCAUGUAGAUGUGCGGAUCGACUCCCACAUAUGGUAUUCUUAUUUGAGUAGGCUAAAACCUUACAUG